CACGUAGUUAGCCGGGGCUUCUUAGUCAGGUACCGUCAUUUUCUUCCCUGCCGAUAGAGCUUUACGUACCGAAAUACUUCUUCACUCACGCGGCGUCGCUGCAUCAGGGUUUCCCCCAUUGUGCAAUAUUCCCCACUGCUGCCUCCCGUAGGAGUUUGGGCCGUGUCUCAGUCCCAAUGUGGCCGUUCACCCUCUCAGGCCGGCUACUGAUCGUCGCCUUGGUGGGCCUUUACCCCGCCAACCAGCUAAUCAGACGCGGAUCCAUCGUAUACCACCGGAGUUUUUCACACUGCUUCAUGCGAAGCUGUGCGCUUAUGCGGUAUUAGCACCUAUUUCUAAGUGUUACUCCCCCAGUAUACGGCAGGUUCUCCACGCGUUACUCCACCCGUCCGCCACUAACUCAUAUAUCACUAGGUUUCAAUAUGAGUCCGUUCGACUUGCAUGUGUUAAGCACGCCGCCAGCGUUCAUCCCGAGCCAGGACUCAAACUCU
rnacentral:rRNA from 1 species